rnacentral:rRNA from 1 species
GCUUGUCUCAAAGAUUAAGCCAUGCAUGUCUCAGUAUAAGUUCCUGUACGGCGAAACUGCGAAUGGCUCAUUAAAACAGUUACAGUUUAUUUGAUGGUCGUUCCUUACAUGGAUAACUGUGGUAAUUCUAGAGCUAAUACAUGCUGUAAAGCCCGACUUCUCGGAAGGGCCGUAUUUAUUAGAUAACAGACCAGCAGCUUCGGCUAUUGUGGUGAAUCAUAGUAACUAAUCGGAUCGCAUGGGCUAGUCCCGCGACAAACCAUUCAAGUUUCUGCCCCAUCAGCUUUCGACGGUAGUGUAUUGGACUACCGUGGCUUUUACGGGUAACGGAGGAUUAGGGUUCGAUUCCGGAGAGGGAGCCUGAGAAACGGCUACCACAUCUAAGGAAGGCAGCAGG